rnacentral:rRNA from 1 species
GGGAGGUAGUGACAAGAAAUAACAAUACAGGGCUAAUGUCUUGUAACUGGAAUGAUGGUGACUUAAACCCUCACCAGAGUAGCAAUUGGAGGGCAAGUCUGGUGCCAGCAGCCGCGGUAAUUCCAGCUCCAAUAGCGUAUAUUAAACUUGUUGCAGUUAAAAAGCUCGUAGUUGUAUUUUUGCUUGGCGGUUUGUUGCCUUUGUGGCUGUAUCCCGCUUGGCUUUUGGCUUUUUGCCUUAUUACUUUGAGAAAAUUAGAGUGUUUCAAGCAGACUUUUGUCUUGAAUACUGUAGCAUGGAAUAAUAGAGUAGGACUUUGGUUCUAUUUUGUUGGUUUGGGAACCUUGGUAAUGGUUAAUAGGAACGGUUGGGGGCAUUCGUAUUUAACUGUCAGAGGUGAAAUUCUUAGAUUUGUUAAAGACGAACUACUGCGAAAGCAUUUGCCAAGGACGUUUCCAUUAAUCAAGAACGAAAGUUAGGGGAUCGAAGACGAUCAGAUACCGUCGUAGUCCUAACCAUAAACUAUGCCGACUAGUGAUUGGAGGUCGUCGUUUGUUUGACCCCUUCAGGAGCUUGAGAGAAAUCAAAGUCUUUGGGUUCCUGGGGGGAGUAUGGUCGCAAGGCUGAAACUUAAAGGAAUUGACGGAAGGGCACCACCAGGCGUGGAGCCUGCGGCUUAAUUUGACUCAACACGGGGAA